UCUGAAUUCAUUUUUUCUUCCUCUGAUUAAAUUACUGGCUGAUCACUAUGACCUUGUGGAGGCUUGGUUUUGUAUUUGUUAAGGUCAGGUGUAUUUUGGUUUUGCCCUUAGUCCUAAGACAUACUCUUGAAUCUAAACUCAUGGUCUCUUUGAAUUUUUAAUGGAAAGCCUAAGAUGUUAUUACAUCCCUCUAACUUGAUAGAAGUCAAACUCUAAACUCUUUCUCCCCCCA
rnacentral:lncRNA from 1 species